CACCAAUACCAAGUGGGAGACUUCGUCUAUAUAAGACGACAUCAGGUGUCAUCCCUGGAGCCUCACUGGAAAGGAACCUGGUGGGCAUGUGACUCAGGGUUAACUCCUUGCAUUUCAGCCCAGAUAUUUAACAACUCUGUAAAUUAUUGUGUAAUGGUACAAAUAUUUCCCAGAGUGCUCUAUCAUGACGCAAAUACAUUUGAAGAUCAAAUAAGGGGAUAUACCACCCGAUUCCGCCGGGAACCAGUGUCCCUCACUUUAGCCAUAUUAUUAGAAAUAGGAGUUGCUACAGGAGUGGGUACAGGAACUGCUGCCCUGGUCCAUGGGUCUCAACAAAUGGCCCAAUUACAAGCAGCAAUAAAUCAGGACUUAAAAACAUUAGAAACCUCCAUCACAGCCUUACAAGAGUCCCUAACCUCUCUCUCUAAAGUUGU
rnacentral:lncRNA from 1 species